rnacentral:rRNA from 1 species
GUCUAAGGCCAUAACACCCUGAAUAAGCCUAAUCCCGUCUGAUCUCAGAAGCUAAGCCAGGUCUGGUUAGUACUUAGAUAGAAGACCACCUAGGAAGACCAGGUGCAACAGGUG